AAAUAGCGCCAACCGGAUGGUUUAUUCCCCUCGCGUUCUGGUUUUCAUCUCUUCGCGUCCGUGUUGCUGUUCAAGCGCCUCACCUGUCCCCCUGUCUUCCCCUUUGCCCCUUCGUCGCCGCAGCACGUUUGCGUUUUCCAAUUCUUCCUUGUCUAUACUCUCUCCGUCUCGACUUCGAGCUGGGUCGGUUUCGACUUCGGCUGAUCUGUUCCGCUGCUGUUGCCCUUCCUUGUUCUCGCAGAUCUCCAUCGGGCGUUCCGCUUUCGUGCGACGCGGGGAGCGAGCCUUUGUUCGGUGGCGGGGUUGUUGGGUUUGCGGUUUAUUUUUUCCCUGCAAUUCGUCUAGUCAUCGUGUGUAGUUCGUCUAGUCAUCGUGUCGAUCUUGUUUCGUCUCGCCUUCUCAUCGCGUGGGUUGCAGGAUUGGAUCCGAUCUGGUGUUGGGAGUUCGUCAUGUUCGCCUGAACUCGGAGGCAGGUCAGUGUUCUGUCAGAUCCGACGGUUCAUUGGUUUUGUCACUUGGAAAGCAUGGAUUCGGUGGUUUCAGGCCCAAUCGUCUCCCGGUGUGGUACCACCAGAAAUUGUCACUUGGACAUGGAUUCGGUGGUUUCAGGUCAAUCGUCUCCCGGUGCGGGUAGCGUCAGAAACCGAUAGUGCAGUUGUAGCCUGCACACCAGGUGGAUUUGGAGAACCUUCAGUACAUUCUUAUGUUAACGGCUGAUCUCGCUUGUGGCCUUUUGGUUGUUUGUCCUCCUUAAACUUCAGAUGCAAGAAGGGUCCUUGCUGGUUAUGGAGAGAUCAGUUGAAGGGUGGAGGUUUGCUUAUGGUUCAUUCGUCGUUUCUCAUUCUGAUAUCAUCAUAUUGGUGCGAAGAUUAGCACCGGACUUACUCUAAGCUUGAUUGGAAAUGCUGCUGGCUAGAUCUGCAGAGGCAACAUAGUUUUGGAAGUAGGUUGAGGCGUUGACUGGACUGGAGUUCGUAGUAUUGGAGAGAAGAUCGUUUGGAUAUAUUUACCUAUCGCCGUUCAUAUUAUUAAUUUUCUAUCCGUUGCAAUUUUAAUUUCUUACAUUGGGGUGAUGGUUUUCUCCAGCAACUUGAUUAAAUGGAUGGAUGGGUUGGAGGCGAGUUUGAUCAUGCUUCUGCUUAAGCAAUCAGAAGUUUGGAAUAGGUCAGAGUUCCUUGUGUUUGUUCACUAACCAUCCUCCUGUAGAUGUUCUUCUAAAAUUAACUACACACAUAAGCUCCCUUCAAUGCUUCGUUACUGAAUCUGCAGUUUUGGGAUAUAUCAAUUCAGAGUUAGCUGAGGUUUGCUUACAUUCCUUGGUUUUGAUCUGAUAUAUAUGGCUAUUUUUAUAUUGAUCAUGGUGGCGUGAAGAUUGCCACUGGACUAAUUAGGAGCUUGAUUGUCCUUAAUUGGAAAAAUGUUGUAGAGGCAACUGAGGUGAUGUUUUGGACGUAGGUUGAAGCUUUGACCUGACUAAGUUCAUGACAUGCCGAUAACAUUGUUGGGAUAUAUUGUCGGAAGAUUAGCACCGAACUUACUUUAAGCUUCGUUGGAAAUGCUGCCUCUAGAUCUGCAGAGGCAACUUAAUAUUGGAAAUAAAUUGGGGCGUUGACUGCACUGCAAUUCGUAGUAUUGGCGAGAAGAUCAUUAAAUGGAUGGAUGGGUUGGAGGCGAGUUUGAUCCUGCUUCUGCUUGUGCAAUCAGAAGUUUGGAAUUGUUCAGAGUUCCUUGUGUUUGUUCAUUAACCAUCCUUCUGUCAAUGUUCUUCGAAAACUAACUUCACACAUAGGCUCCCUUUAAUGCUUUGUUAGUGAAUCUGCAGUUUUGGGAGACAUCACUACAGAGUUCAUCCCCCUAAAUGCAUAAUGGAAGUCCUUGCUGGUAUUAUCCACCUAGAUGCAAAAGGAAAGGUCCCUUGGUUAUGAAUAGAUCGGUUGAAGGGUGGAGGUUUGCUUACGUUCCUUGGUUUUGAUCUGCUAUAUGGCUAUUUUAUGUUAGCGAGUUUGAUCCUGCUUCUGCUUGUGCAAUCAGAACUUUGGAAUUGUUCAGAGUUCCUUGUGUUUGUUCACUAACUAUCCUCCUGUCGAUGUUUUUUGAAAAUUGACUUCACACAUAGGCUCCCUUAAUGCUUCGUUAGUGUCUGCAGUUUUGGGAGAUGCCACUCCAGAGUUGGUCCCCCCUAGAUGCAAAAUGAAAGGUCCUUGCUGGUUUGUCCUAGAUGCAAAAGGAAAGGUCCCUUGGUUAUGGAUAGAUCGGUUGGAGGGUGGAGGUUUGCUUAUGUUCCUUGGUUUUGGUCUGAUAUAUGGCUAUUUUUAUGUCAAUCACGGUGGCGUGAAGAUUGCCACCGGACUAAUUAGAAGCUUGGUUGUCCUUAAUUGGAAUAAUGUUGUAGAGGCAACUGAGGUGAUGUUUUGGACGUAGAUUGAAGCUUUGAUCGUACUAAGUUCAUGACAUGCAGAUAACAUCGUUGAGAUAUAUGUAUCUCUCACACUUCUAUUUGUACUCUUAAAUUUAUUGUUUAUUAUAUUUGGGCUGAUGUUUUUCUCCAGCAACUGGAUUACAACAUCUGGAUUGUAUAUGGAUGCAUUGAAGACUGAGUUCGGUCCUGCUUCUACAUGAACAAUAAUAAUUUUGGAGGCAUUACAACAGAGAUAGGACUUCGCAGCUGAACUUGUCGACGAAUGAUUGGACUUCAUCCUAUCCCACAUUAUUUGAUGAACGUUCAUGCUGUUUAAGUGUUCUAAGUGGUAACUAUCAAAUAUAUAGUUACCAGAGGGCGGUCUUGCUGAUUGCAGAUCUCUAGGUGGGAUAUUUGCAUGGGCACAGAAAGGAACCCGAUCAAUUCAAACCUACAACAACCUUUAACUCUCACUGUGUUUGUUCAGUGUGUUCUACCUUGAAGUAGAUAAUGAUUGGGGUCUUCAUUGCAGUCUUCUCCUAUUUUUGCAUGGGCUUGUCAUGCUGCACGGAAUAUGGGCUGAGUACUAAACUUAUCCAAUUUACAAAAUGCUAGUAUAUGACCCAUGAUGAAAAUUCGGAUACUUCUAAUUUAAUCUGUAGUUGUAGAAGGCACUGGGUAUGUUUGGGACGUGGGAGAUUCAAGCAGAUAUGGGUAGAACUACAACUUUGAUUUAAUCAAUCGUGUUUCUGCUUCAUCAUGCUAUAUAUGCUCUGACUGAAGCUUUAAUUCUUGUGUUGCUAUCAUUUCUGCGUUCUGCAGAUCAUUUAGCUCAAGUAAUUGGUAGUCCAACGGUCAUGAUACUUGUUUUGGUUUGGGAUUAGCUUUAUCUACAUUUUUGUGCUCGCUUUUACAUGUGGUUGCAGGGUAAGUUUGGCAAUUGGAAAUCCCUGUAGCGAAGAACUGAUAUUUAAAACUGGGGGCAGGUCAGAGAUCAUUCCGGUUGCGUUGGUUCCAUCACUUGUUUUCAGUGAUUUUAGAUCUGAAUGGUUGGCUAACAUUCUGGCGCUCCAAUGAUAUCGCUGGUCCAAUGAUAUCACUGGUGUAGUAGUAGCAAGGUUUGAGAUGCAGGGAGGACAUUGGAGGUGGAUUUUCCUCGCACUCUGGUUUUUCAUCUCUUCGCGUCGAUGUUGCUAUUCAAGUGCCUCGCCUCGCAUGUCCCUGUCUUGCCCUUUGUCCAUUCGUCGCAUGACGCCUUUGCGAUUUCCAUUUCUUCCUUCUCUGUACUCUCUGUUUUGACUUCGAGCUGGGUCGGCUUCUACUCCGGUUGAUCUUUUCUGCUGCUGUUGAGCUUCUGUGCUCUUCCAGAUCCCCUUGGGGCGUUCAGCUUUCGUGCCACGCUGGAGUGGGCCUGCGUUCGGUGGCGGGAUUGUUGGGUUUGCGGUUUAUUUUUUCCGGCAAUUCGUCUAGUUCUCGUGUCGAUCUUGUUUCAUCUUCGCCUUCUCAGCGUAUGGGCUGCAGGAUUGGAUCUGAUAUGAGUUGUUUGUCCUCCUUAAACUUCAGAUGCAAGGAGGGUCUUUGCUGGUUAUGAAAAGAUCAGUUGAAGGGUGGAGGUUUGCUUAUGGUUUAUUCAUCGUUUCUCAUUCUGAUAUCAUGGUGCAAAGAUUAGCAUCGGACUUGCUCUAAAGCUUGAUUGGAAAUGAUGCUGGCUAGAUUUGCAGAGGCAACUUAGUUUUGGAAGUAGAUUGAGGCAUUGACUGGAGUGGGAGCUCGUAGCAUCGGCGAGAAUAUCGUUUGGAUAUAUUUACCUACCUCUCUUCAUAUUAUUAAAUUUCUAUCCGCUGCAGUUUUACAUUGGGGUGAUGAUUUUCUACAGCAACUCAUGGAUGGAUGGGUUGGAGGCGAGUUUGAUCCUGCUUCUGCUUGUGCAAUCAGAAGUUUGGAAUUGUUCAGAGUUCCUUGUGUUUGUUCACUGACCAUCCUCCUGUCAAUGUUCUUUGAAAAUUAACUUCACACAUAGGCUCCCUUAAUGCUUCGUUAGUGAAUCUGCAGUUUUGGGAGAGGGCGGUUGAAGGGUGAAGGGUGGAGUUUGGUUGAAGGGUGUUCUUCUCUAGCAACUGGAUUAUAGCAGCUGGUUUAUAUACGGAUGGAUUGGAGUCAGUUCGAUUCUGCUUAUUCGGGGCUCCCUUUUUUUGUUCAAAAAACCAUCCUAACCUGUGGAAAUUUAUUUUACUCGUAGGCUACCCUACCUUCAACGAUUUGAUUGUAAUCUGCAGUUUUGGAGGCAUCGCCACAGAGAUAGGACUUUGCAGCUGAACUCGUCGGUGAAUGAUUGAUCGGACUUUAUCGUAUUCCACAUCAAUUGAUGAAUGUUCAUGCUGUUUAAGUGUUCUCAGUUCUCACUAUCAAAUAGAUAGUUACCAGAGGGUGGUCUUGCUGAUUGCAGAUCUCCAGGUGGGAUACUUGCACGGGCACAGAAGGAUACAGAUCUAUUCAAACCUACAAUGACCUUUAACUCAUUGUGUUUGUUCAGUGUCUUCUAUCUUGAAGUAGAUAAUGAUCGGGGCCUUUAUUGCAGGUCUUCUCAUAUUUUUGGAUGGGCUUGUCAUGCGGAAUAUGUGUUGAGUAAACUUAUCCAAUUUACAAAAUGCUAGUAUACGAACCAUGAUAAAAUUCAGAUAAUUCUUAUUUAAUCUGCAGUGAUAGAAGUUUCUGGGCAUGUUUGGGAUGUGGGAGAUUUAAGCAGAUAUGGGUAGAACUACAUCACUAUAACUUUCAUUUAAUGUAACUUGUUUCUGCUUCGACUGAAGCUUGAAUUGUGUGCUGCUGGAAUUUCUGUUCUGCAGACCAUUUAGCUCAAAUAAUUGGUAGUCCAACGGUCACUAUACUUGUUUUGGUUUGGGAUUUCUGUGGAUGCUUUUGUCUACUUUAUCUAUGUUGUUGUGGUUGCUUUUACAUGUGGUUGUAUGGUAAGUUUGGCAAUUGGAAAUCCCUGUAGCGAAAAACUGAUAUUUAAAAAGUCAUUCUGGUUGUGUUGGUUUCAUCACUUACUUCCAGUGAUUUCAGAUCUGAAUGAUUGGCUAACAUUCUGCCCUCCAUGGAUACUGCUGGUGUAGCAGUAGUGAAGCAAGGUUCAAGAUCUGGAUUUAUUUGGUACUGUAUAUCAAAUGAUCAUAGUAUGUGGUUGUGUCCUUUAGAGGUGCAGGACAUUGGAGGUGGAUUUUCCUCGCUCUCCGAUUAUUCAUCUCGGCGCGUUUGUGUUUUCCAUUUCUUCCUUCUCUGUACACUCCAUUUCGACUUCGAGUUGGGUCAGUUUCUUCUCUGGCUGAUCUCUUCUGCUGCUGUUGCGGUUCUGCAGAUCCCUUUGGGGCGUUCCGCUUUCCUGCGACCCUGGGAGUGAGCCUGAGUUGUGGCAGGGUCGUUGGGUUUGUAGUUUUUUUUUCUGCAAUCCGUCUAGUUUUUGUGUCGAUCUUGUUUCGUCUUCGCUUUCUUGGUGCGUGGGUUGCAGGAUUGGAUCCGAUCUGGUGCUGGGAGUUCGUCGUGGUGUCGUGUGGCAAUCUGUUUGCCCAAGUUCAGAGGCAGGUCAGUAUUCUGUUAGAUCCAACGGUUCAUUGGUUUUGUCGCUUGGACAUGGAUUUGGUGGUUUCAGGCUCAAUUGUCUGUCCCUGGUGUGGUACCAUCAGAAUCAGAUAGCGCAGUCGUCGCUUGUGCACCAGGUGAAUUUGGAGACCUUCGUUCUUAUGUUAACGACUGAUCUCGCUUGUGGCCUUUUGGUUGUUUUGUCCUCAAACUUCAUCAGAUGCAGAAGGGUCCUUUCUGGUUAUGGAGAGAUCAGUUGAAGGGUGGAGAUUUGCUUAUGGCUCACUUGUUGUUUCUCAUUCUAAUAUCAUCAUAUUGGUGCGAAGAUUAUUAGAACCAGACUUGCUCUAAGCUUGAUUGGAAAUGCUGCUGGUUAGAUCUGCAGGGGCAACAGAGUUUUGUAAAGUAGAUUGAGGCUUUGACUCGAAUGGAGUUCGUAGUAUCAUCGAUGAGAUCGUUUGGAUAAAUUUACCUAUCGUUCUUCACAUUCUUAAAUGUCUAUCUGCUGAUUGGAAAUGUUGCUGGUUGGAUCUGCAGGGGCAACCGAGUUUUGGACAUUCUUAAAUGUCUAUCUGCUGAAUGGAGUUCAUAGUAUCGGCGAUAAGAUCGUUUGAAUUAAUUUACCUAUCACUCUUCAUAUUCUUAGAUUUCUAUCCGCUGCCAUUUUAAUUCCUUAUGUUGGGAUUAUGUUGGGAUGGUGGUUUUCUCCAGCAACUCGAUUUGUGGAUGGAUGGGUUGGAGCCUUGGAGGCGAGUUAGAUCCUGCUUCUUCUUUUGCUAUCAGAAGUUUGGAAAUGUUCAGAGUUGUUUGUUCACUAACCAUCCUCCUGUCAAUGUUCUUUGAAAAUUAACUGCACACAUAGGCUCCCUUUAAUGCUUGGUUAGUGAAUCUGCAGAGUUUGUCUGGCUAGAUACAAAAUGAAAGGUCCUUGCUGGUUUUGUCCUCCUAGAUGCGGAAGGAAAGGUCCUCUGGUUAUGGAGAGAUCCGUUGAAGGGUGGAGGUUUGCUUAAAUUCGUUGGUUUUGAUAUGUUACAUGGCUAUUCUUAUGUUAAUCAUGGUGGCGUGAAGAUUGCCACCCGAUUAAUUAGAAACUUGAUUGUCCUUGAUUGGAAAAAUGUAGAGGCAACAGAGGUGAUGUUUUGGACGUAGAUUGAAGCUUUGACUGGACUAAGUUCAUGGCAUGCUCUCUUUUAUUGGUACUCUUAAAUUUCUUGUUUCUUAUUUCUGGGCUGGUGUUCUUCUCCAGCAACUGGAUUGUAAAUGGAUGGAUUGGGGCCUGAGUUCAAUUCUGCUUCUGCGUCAGCAAUAAUAAGUUCUGAACUCUUCAGGGUUCCUUGUUUAUUAAAAAAAAACAUCCUAUGUCAAAUGUUCUUCGAAAUUUAGUUCACUUGUAGGCUACCUUCAAUGAUUCGAUUGUAAUCUGCAGUUUUAGAGGCAUUGCAAUAAAUUUAGUUCACUUGUAGGCUACCUUCAAUGAAGAGUUAAUCUGCAGUUUUGCAGUCCUAUCCAGUUACUUUCUUCAACCAGUAACUCUUUGUGCUGCAACAAUCUAAAUUACAAGGAUGCUUCUAAUUCUUCAUUUCUGCCAACAGUCCUAUCCAAUUACUUUCUUGAACCAGUAACUGAGAUAGAAUUUCCAACCAUCGGUGCUGUCUUCAAAGCCCAUGCCCGUUCCAUUGGCCAUUUGAUUUGCCUUGGAUUUGAAGGUUUUUUAAGCCUAUCACUGAACCAAAAUAGACAAAUCAUCUGUAGGUUUUGCACUUGGAACUUUAAAGUUCAGUCUGAUCCUGAUCUUAAUAUGGGCCUAUCUUCCGAAAUUUACUACCUUCAAUUUUGCUAGCCAGAGAACUUUCAGAUAGUGUGUAUUGAAGCUUGAUUACUUGGACUGUUCUACUGUUUCAGAUGCUUUGAAUCCUCCAUGCUAUAGUUAUAUGAUCUACAUGAUGACAACCAAGACGAUACAUUGUCCAGAGAUUGUUUCCAUUUCACUUGUUUGAUUUGGAUUUUUGGUGGUUUGCUUGGUUUCCAGUUAUUUGAGAGAAUUAAUGCUUGGAUGUUAGGAGUGAGGAGGCACUCAAAUACUCUUUGCUCAUACUGCCAUUUUACAUUGGAAAUUGGAUACAUUUGGAGCUAAGGUUAGGUUACUCCUUUGCACUACCUUUAUUUUGAAGCUGUCCUUAUUAAUCUGCAUGCCUCAUCUGAUGGCUCAGGUCCACUAUUUGCGCUGAUAUCCAGCAAGAACUCUUUCUUGACAUACAUACCUUUAUUGAGCAAAAUUGUUUUUUUACUGAAAUUGUAGUUACUUGAGCAUAUGUGCAUCGUAUUCUUUAUGGUCCCCUCGUCCCUUCAUUAAUACCCAAAUUUUCUUUUAGGACUCUAGUUUCUGGUUCGCUUCUAAUUUUACUUUGGUAUAACCCCUCGUCCACUUACUGGUUCAGUUAUGCAUUAUUAGUAUAAGGCUGUUGACUGCAUUGUUUAUGAAAGUCAAGAAAGGAUGUUACUGCUUCUGUGCAUUUCAAAAGAAAAUCUCUCUGAACAAACUUGUCUUCUAUGUGCUUAUUGUUUGACCAUUUCUGUCGUGGACUAGCAGUAGUGCCUUAUAUACAUGGAUUCUCAAUUUAUCACAAGUUUGGGUUCGAGUUGACUCAUCCUAAUUUAUAGAUCAAUAAGGUUGUUGCAUUGAUAUUAAUAUGCCAAAGUCAGUGGAAGCUUAGUGCUUGCUUAAAUCUGUUUCAACUGGGUUUCUUGAACCUUGACCUUGAGUGAACUUGAAUGGUUGGUUCCAUUUGUGUCAUCUGUACAGCUUGGUGUUUGGUCAUGCAAGCUAGGAUAUGAUUGCUUCUUUUUCUGUAAUUCUGCACUAUCUCCAAAUUAGCAUGUUCAUUCUUGUUAUAAUGGUGAUUGAGUAGUUAGGCUAAUUUAACACUAGGAUUGAUUAUCUUGCAUUUGGUUAGGUCCUUGCAAAGUGGUCCAGGUAACAUUGGGGAUGACAAUAGUACCUUAACCUAGCUAGGAUAUGUUUGGUCAUGCAAGCUAUGAUGUUGGAAACUGUACAUAAGAUUGCACGAGUGUACACUAGCUGAUUUUUUAGCUGUGCACUUGCUUAAAUUUCUAUGGGUCUUUGUUGAUGGUAUGAUUUUUUAUUAAAGCUGGUUCCUGUAUCUGUUCAGUCCUCGAGAUCAUUAGGUAUUCGAAUUAGGAAUACACAAGUGCUCUGACCAUUCAACUAAUAUGUUCGACGCAGAACCGGCUAUAUGAUUUGUUCUUUUUUCUUCAAAUUAUGUUUGGGAACACGAUUUUCUUUGUGUAAUUGUUUGUGUUUCCUGUUGUUUGUUUGCGGUUUAACACUGCCUUUGCCGGUCCCAAGCCCGGAUGAGAAAUGUGGAGGGAACUGCAGUGUUUCUCACUCCCAUGAUUGGCAUCAGGCUACUGGGAAGAAAUGUUGUUUGGUCAAAACAGCUAGACUCUGAGAGCGCAGAGGGCGUAACCUAAUCAUCAAGCGGCAGUACGGUCAUGCCUCCAGCCGUGUCUGGUAGCCUGGUAGUAAUACUGGUUGUUUUGGAGACUGCAUGCAAGUUCUUUUCCCCUCUUUUUAGUAGUGUUUUACAAGUUUAUUUAUCUCAUUACGUGCUGAAGAACUCAAGGCACAGCAAGCUACCUGAAGCCGUUUCGUUGAUCUUCGAACCAAUGGAUACCUCUAAUCUUCAGCGAAGUAUGCACGUACAAAAGAGUCUUCGACCCAGGCCUGACCGCCUGAGUCCUUAUUAGGGAGGGAUGGUAAUGGGUCGGUCCGAUUUGGAUCGGGUGAAGUAAAAACCUAUCAGCAAUUACACCUGUGAAGUCUAUCUAAACCCGUUGGAUUGGGGUCGGGUGAAUUAAAAACCCAUCUGCAACCUGUCCCCGAUCGCAUCUGCUUAAUUUUAAACCGGCACCCAAAUCCGCCGUGAAGUACAUGUGUUUCUGUUCAACUGUCAAUGUGCAAGCAAAGGUCAAAGGGCCCAUAGAGAGUCGAUUGAUGCUAUAGAUAAAAUAAGAAAGGGCUUUCUUUGGAGAGGAAGAAAAGAAGCUAAAGAGGGACACUGUUUGGUGGCUUGGGGCAAGGUGUGUCGCCCACUUCAGCUUGGUGGAUUGGGUAUCUCUAGUCUACCGGAACUUGGAUGGGCCCUCCGGAUGCGAUGGUUGUGGCUACAAAAAACCGACUCUAGAAGACCUUGGACAUGACUUCCUAUUCAGGUUCCAAGUAAAGCUAGAGCGUUCUUCAGUAAAGUCCUUGUCUCGAUGGUAGGUAAUGGACAUAGUACCAUCUUCUGGUCCGAUAACUGGUUGCAGGGUAAAAGCAUCUCGAUCAUUGCCCCUAGCCUAUUUUCUAUAAUCCCAAAGAGGAUAGCAAAAAGUAGAACGGUUCAUGAGGCCUUGUUAAACAACAGAUGGAUUUAAUGAUAUUAGAGGUGGUCUUACUGUUGGAGUACCGGCAGAUUACUUUAAGCUCUCUCUGGUUUUGAGCUGCACCCUCUCAUUGAAGAUAGACACAUCUUUAGUAUAGCCCCAGAUGGAAAAUAUUCAGCUAAGGCAGCUUACAAGGGUCUCUUCCUGGGAUCAUGUACAUUUGGACACUAUAAACGGGUUUGGAAAACUUGGGCUCCAUCAAAAUGUCGUUUCUUCCUCUGGCUAGUGGCCCAUAAUAGGUGCUGGACUGCUGACAGAUUAGCAAAAAGAGGGCUCAAUCAUCCUAGCAGUUGUCCACUGUGUGAUCAAGAACCUGAAACUAUUAACCACCUGCUGGUCUCAUGUGUGUUUGCAAGGAUUUUCUGGUAUAAUCUGCUCAGAAAGUUUGGGUUGGAUAACUUGGCUCCCCAGCCGGGCUUGACUUCCUUCCUGGAAUGGUGGGAGAUAGCUUCUGAAACAGUUCAGGGAAUAGUCAAGAGAGGUCUGAGUUCGCUGAUCUCUUUGGGGGCAUGGACGAUCUGGAAUCACCGCAACAGAUGUGUGUUUGAUGGACAGACUCCUAGUCUUCCCUCUAUCCUUAGGCAUGCUGAUGAUGAGAGAAGACUUUGGGAAUUAGCUGGGGCCAAGGGUCUCUUCUUCUUGGCAGCUUCUUUGACAAAUGACUGAACCCUACUAUUUCUAUUUUAGUAGUUUCUUGAGUCUGGCUUUCUUAGUCUCUUUCACUUAUGUGUGGUACUGGCCUCCGUAAGGAGUUAAAUGUUGUAACCCUGGUCUACUAUAGACCUUUUUUUUUCCUCUUCUUAAUAUAUUUUAAGGCGUAAUUCCCCUGCGCUUUCGAUAAAAAAAGUAGCAGCCUAGAGGCCUGGUAAGUUUUUGUUCAACUGUCAAUGUGCCAAGCAAAGGCCAAAGGGCCCAUAGAGCCUAGAGGCCUGGUAAUGGUUCGUAAAGUACAUGUGUUUCUGUUCUUCAGAGGCCUGGUAAUGGUUAGUAAAGUACAUGCGUUUCUGUU